CUGAAAGUGAUUGAAGGACAAAUUGGGAACAAGAUUGGCUUGAAUUGAAGACAUAACGGUGUCGUUUUAAGAGAAGAGUGAAAUAUAGGUUUUGCAGAAGUGGUGAUGAGAAAUUUGAAACGUCGUCGUAUUGAAGAUAACGAGAGAGAGAGAGAGAGAGAGUGGCGGAACGGAGAGUGAGAAGGUUAUUCAAGUCGUAUGUGUUGGU